GGAGAGGUGAGGAGUGGACUGGUCUGAACCAAGUCACAACAUGGAGAGGUGAGGAGUGGACUGGUCACAGCAUGGAGAGGUGAGGAGUGGACUGGUCACAACAUGGAGAGGUGAGGAGUGGACUGGACACAACAUGGAGAGGUGAGGAGU